rnacentral:tRNA from 1 species
AAAUAACAAGUUGAAAGACCAAAUUUGGUUGAAAAAUUUAAAAAAAAAGCAUGUCUUAACCCU